GAUCAUUACCGAGUUUACAACUCCCAAACCCCUGUGAACAUACCACUUGUUGCCUCGGCGGAUCAGCCCGCUCCCGGUAAAACGGGACGGCCCGCCAGAGGACCCCUAAACUCUGUUUCUAUAUGUAACUUCUGAGUAAAACCAUAAAUAAAUCAAAACUUUCAACAACGGAUCUCUUGGUUCUGGCAUCGAUGAAGAACGCAGCAAAAUGCGAUAAGUAAUGUGAAUUGCAGAAUUCAGUGAAUCAUCGAAUCUUUGAACGCACAUUGCGCCCGCCAGUAUUCUGGCGGGCAUGCCUGUUCGAGCGUCAUUUCAACCCUCAAGCACAGCUUGGUGUUGGGACUCGCGUUAAUUCGCGUUCCUCAAAUUGAUUGGCGGUCACGUCGAGCUUCCAUAGCGUAGUAGUAAAACCCUCGUUACUGGUAAUCGUCGCGGCCACGCCGUUAAACCCCAACUUCUGAAUGUUGACCUCGGAUCAGGUAGGAAUACCCGCUGAACUUAAGCA
rnacentral:rRNA from 1 species